AUUGAACGCUGGCGGCAGGCCUAACACAUGCAAGUCGAGCGAGCGGCGGACGGGUGAGUAAUGUAUGGGGAUCUGCCUGAUGGCGGGGGAUAACUACUGGAAACGGUAGCUAAUACCGCAUACCAUCAGAUGAACCCAUAUGGGGUUAGCUUGUAGGUGAGGUAACGGCUCACCUAGGCGACGAUCCCUAGCUGGUCUGAGAGGAUGCGCAGCCAGCCUGGUACGGAGACACGGCCCAGACGCCUACGGGAGCCAGCAGUGGGCAAUCUUGAGCAAUGGGCGGAAGCCUGAUGCAGCCAUGCCGCGUGUAUGAAGAAGGCCUUCGGGUUGUAAAGUACUUUCAGUCGGGAGGCGGUACCGACAGAAGAAGCACCGGCUAACUCCGUGCCAGCAGCCGCGGUAAUAC
rnacentral:rRNA from 1 species